CAGAUUCGUCUGGAGAACAUCAGUAAUGCUGUGACUAAGAGAAAAAAGGAAGGUUCUGGCCCUGAUCCAUCUACACCACUGCCUCUCAAAUUUACCCAUGCCUGGGAAUAGCCUGGAGGGCUUGAUAAAACUCAGAUUCCAAGGCAGAAGGUCUGGGAGGGGAAGUGGCAUUUCUCACAAAUGCAACGGCCCAGGCUGAUGCUGCUUCCCGACAUCAAGGAGUCACACAGCGGUUCACUUCACUCAGAAGAAUAAGGCAGAGGAAACUCAGCCGCCAACAGGCCAGUGUCAAGCGAAUUUCGUGGAGGUCCCAGGGGCAGUCUUCCCUCCUCCCAAAGCACAGGUGUUGCAUUGUAAUGAGACAGUGGAGCUAUGUAGAGGAUCCACCUUUGCUUAAAAGCCUUAAGCUCAUAAUACCCAAUAUUGUGUUGUCACGGC